CCUACGGGUGGCAGCAGUGGGGAAUAUUGCACAAUGGGGGAAACCCUGAUGCAGCGACGCCGCGUGAGCGAGGAAGUAUUUCGGUAUGUAAAGCUCUAUCAGCAGGGACGAAAAAAGCAGUUACUUGACUAAGAACCCCCGGCUAACUACGUGCCAGAAGUCCCGGUAUUCCGUAGGGGGCAAGCGUUAUCCGGAUUUAUUGGGUGUAAAGGGAGCGUAGACGGCAAGGCAAGCCAGAAGUGAAAGGGCAGGGCUCAACCCCGUACAUGCUUUUGGAACUGUGGUGCUAGAGUGCAGGAGAGGUAGGUGGAAUUCCUGGUGUAGCGGUGAAAUGCGUAGAUAUCAGGAGGAACACCGGUGGCGAAGGCGGCUUACUGGACUGUAACUGACGUUGAGGCUCGAAAGCGUGGGGAGCAAACAGGAUUAGAUACCCCAGUAGUC
rnacentral:rRNA from 1 species